GUUAUCGAACAUUUUUGAAGCUUCUGGACUCGAAACUUGUUCCGUCUGCUGGAUCUGGUGAUUCGAAGGUGUUUUAUUUGAAGAUGAAGGGAGAUUAUCAUCGCUAUCUGGCUGGCUGAGUUUAAAACUGGUGCUGAUCGGAAAGUACGCUUAAUGCGUAUAAGGCUGCUCAGUUAUGACAUUGCCAAUGCUGAACUUGCCCCGACACACCCGAUCCGUCUAGGAUUGGCUCUUAACUUCUCUGUGUUUUACUUAAUGAGAUCUUGAACUCACCAGACCGUGCAUGCGGUUUUGCCAAACAGGCGUUUGAUGAAGCAAUUGCUGAGUUGGAUACUUUGGGCGAAGACUCAUACAAGGACAGCACUUUGAUCAUGCAACUUCUUCGUGACAAUCUUACUUUGUGGACUUCCGAUAUGCAGGAUGAGGGAGGUGAUGAGAUUAAGGAAGUCGGGGCGACCAAACCAAGCGAGGAACAAAAGGAAUGAUAACGUUUACGCCAUUCGAUCCGAUUUCGUGCAUUUAUUUUUAUUAGAAGAAAUACCUUUCAGAGGCUUUGAUCAUCGUAUUGUUAUUGUGUUGAAUCUAACAGUUGUCUCUGCCUUUUCUUCUUACUAAUUUCUACUUAUUUGUAACCCUUUAUUCGGGUGGUGUUUUAUUUACUCGGUAGUUUCUCGUGCUUUAUGUCUAUGUCGUCGUCCAACAAAAUAAAUCUGGUGAGUAGCAUUUCAUUGUAAAUGUUCUGGAAUUUAUGAACAAGACGUACUUUUAAAGAAAAAUAUACAUAGAAAAAAAUAUUUUACAAAGUGCAAACUAUAGCAACUAAUGUACUUUUAAAAAUCUAAGAACCAUAUUCAACAUUUUGGUCAAAACACGGAGAACUCUUUGUAAAAGGAUUUAAAUACGUUUAUGAUAAUUGAUAAGGGUAAAAAAGAUUAGAGAAAAUUGCCAAAUAUACGUUUAUGAUAAUUGACAAGGGUAAAAAAGAUAAGAGAAAAUUG
rnacentral:lncRNA from 1 species